rnacentral:tRNA from 1 species
ACUAAUUUGGCAGAAAAAUUGUAUCAAAUUUAGAAUUUGAAUAUGGGUUUCCAAUUAGUA